GGGCUGGCAUCCUUCGGGGUUACAGCCUUGCUGAAUUAUUCACCCGUGUCUUUUGCGUACUUCUUGUUUCCUUGGUGGGUUCGCCCACCAUAGGACAAACCAUAAACCUUUUGUAAUUGCAAUCAGCGUCAGUAAAAAAAAAUUAAUAAUUACAACUUUUAACAACGGAUCUCUUGGUUCUGGCAUCGAUGAAGAACGCAGCGAAAUGCGAUAAGUAGUGUGAAUUGCAGAAUUCAGUGAAUCAUCGAAUCUUUGAACGCACAUUGCGCCCUUUGGUAUUCCAAAGGGCAUGCCUGUUCGAGCGUCAUUUGUACCCUCAAGCUUUGCUUGGUGUUGGGCGUCUUGUCUCCAGUUCGCUGGAGACUCGCCUUAAAGUAAUUGGCAGCCGGCCUACUGGUUUCGGAGCGCAGCACAAGUCGCGCUCUCUUCCAGCCAAGGUCAGCAUCCACAAAGCCUUUUUUCAACUUUUGACCUCGGAUCAGGUAGGGAUAC
rnacentral:rRNA from 1 species